GGGUGGGAUCAGUAUGCACAAAUCCAUGGACCCUGAUGUAAUGCAUCCACGUGUGCUGAGGAAGCCGGCAGAGGUGAUUGCUGAACUGCUCUCUAGCAUCUUCGACAGGUCUUGGAGAACAGGAGAGGUGCCUGAAGACUGGAGGAUAGCCAGUGUCACUCCGGUCUUCAAAAAGGGCAAGAAGGAGGAUCCGGGAAGCUACAGGCCGGCAGAUGGGGACAUUCAAGAAGUCAGCUGAGAGAGACACGUGUGAAGUUCAGGGACAUCACCAAACAGACCAACAUGAGAAGAAUACAGACUUUUGUACAUAUUUAAAGAGGCUGUUAAAGGAGAUCAUCUACAAUUGUUUGCUUAACCAGAUGAACUGUACAUCCAGUGGAUUGAACUCCCUAAUGUAUGCAUCUCAUUAUAAUUCCCAAGGCACUGGUCCAACAUGCUUAACAGAGGAAAACAAAACAAAACAAAACAAAAACAACUAACCACAAAUCAUUAUUUAGUCUUGUAAGUUUAUAUUUGCUAGGUGUUGAAAAUGACCUAAACAGAAAGAAGACAAGUCAAAUGCUAAGGCUAUGCUCAAUAAAGGUCAGGAGAGAGAUGUUAGUCCAGCUUCAGUGAGAUCAUAAUGUUAUGAAGAAAUAAUCAAUAUACAUUUUGUAAUGUGAUUCCAGUUCUUAUGAUGAUUGAAGCAAAGUAGUUUGAGAAACACUGAAUUCUGCAAUAGAAAAAAAAAACCCCCACAUUUCUGCCUUUUAUUCCAGCCUUCUUUGGCUGAAUUCUCAACUACCCUGUGGCUUGUUUUGUGAGAUUUCACUGAGGAAUAGCUGUCAGUGUUAAAAAGUCAGCAUUUUAAGAUGGUACAGCAUGUAUGUGUAUGCUCCCUUUCUCUCAAAUAGCUUUGAAACACCAAAGGUCAUUACCUGCUCUGGUACCAGAACUCCUGUAACAUGGUGUAGUGUCUCACGUACAUCUGGGUGUUCAUUUUAAUUUUUUAAUGGUGACAGCUUCAUGGAGAAAUGACUGCUGGCCUGAGGUGUUUCAGACAUUUUCCCUUCUCUGUCCAACUGAGAAAGAAUCUCAGGCUUUGUGUCCAGAAAUAUCAGUUAUUUUUAAAACUAAGGUAUUUGUUCUCAUUAAGGUAAUGCUAUUAGCAUUACAAUUAUAAAGCAUGCAGGGCGUGCACCAUUGAGACAGUAUGGCAGUGGCUAAAAUAAAGACAGAUACAAGUCAGUUAGUGAAAUAUGUCUCCAUCUCUGGAAGUUUGCUAAAAUCUACAGACCUACUGACCUAGCUUUUAAGUAAAAUAUUUGCUAAAAUCUACGGACCUAGCUUUUAACUAAAAUAUUUAUUUCUGUUCUGCUAGAAGUCCAAUGGAUUAGUUACUUUAGGUCAAAUUUUGAGGUAAUUUUGCCUUUUGGGACUAUCAAAAUGACAUAAGGAAGCAGGAGAUGUGGACCAGCCAUCCUAGUUCAUCAAUAUGACUAAUUAGCAAGGAUGCUAGAAUUUGCAAUCUCAUAAUAGUAAUAAUUAAAAAAAAGAGAAUAAAUGAGCAUUAAAUUUUCUCCAAUAUUAUAUUUCAAUUUUACUUUAUCUUGGGAUUAAAAACUAGGUUACUUCCUAAUAACUAAGGAAGUAGAAACAGCAUUUCACAGAAGGAACAAUGAAGGACCCCAAUUUCCAGCAGUUAUAAUGUUUCACUGAAACAUCGUGAUGUUUCGAAAGGCUUAUAAAUAUAAAACAAGAAUGGUAGGAGAUGUGUUUUAAAUAUCAAAAUUUCUCUGUAUUCUUUAUUUAUAAAUGUAUUGCCUUAUCUUUUUGAUCGAGGGUAUAAUCUCUAACGCAUUUCAGUGCCAGAACCAAGAUCUUCAAUUAUUUUAAAAUAUUCUUCAUUAAUUUUUCUGUAGCUGUGUUAUGAAUUAAAACUUCCAUAGAAAUGUAACAGCCAGAGUAAUAGGACUGGAACCAGAAUUCAUUUUAGCUUCUAAAUUAGACUUUUAUAAUAAAUGGUAAAUUGAAAAGCCAUUACAAAAAGGUUACCAUCUUUUAUUGCAUGAAGUUAAGACUAAUGGUGCAAUUUUCUCUGUAAUUCAUCUUUUACUUAAUAGCAUAUAAUUGUUUAAAUAACAUUUUAGUUCCUUUAAAAAGAAGAUACUGUUAGCAAAGAAAGUCUGAGUAUCAGAUAGUUCAGGAAAACUGCAGAGAGUCCUCUUUCUUAGAUGUUUGGUUGUAUUACUUCAUAUUUUGCUAAGCCACAGGAGCAUAUCGUUUUCUGCAUUGCCAAUUGAUUUGCAUUCUGGCUGAUGACCUCGAUCUCUCUCCUUUUUUUCUUUUUCUGACAAAACACUUGGGGAAGUGGAGAAUGUUUGAAAUUCAUUUUGUUUUUCAGUUUUUUUGUUUUGUUUUGUUUUUUUUUUGUUUUUUUUUACAAAUCUUAAUAAGGUACUAUGAAUGCAAUUUAGUGAAAUAGAUUUGUAAGUGAAUGAAAAGUGUGCUCAGAAUUCCAAUUAAGCCUGGUAAGUGCCUAUAGACAAGAAUGAACAAUUUUUAAGCUUAAAACUUUCAAACCUCAAAGGAUUUGGUCUCUUGGAAUGCAUAAUCUUUGUAGGUCUGUAUGCUUUUAAAAAUGUAGCUAGGAAGAUCUCACCUAAAUGCUAAUACACUUUAGCAUCCACAAAAGAUAUUUGGGCACUCACAUUUCUUUUAGGGCAUACAGUCAAAGACUGGGCGACCUUAGUCAAAUUGCAUACCCUGUAGUGUUUAACCUGAAUGUUGUACAUCUAAGUCUCCUGAAAUGUGGUUAACGUGCUAUAGCACAGCUGAAUUCAUGGCAAACCCAAUCGUUUUCUUUCAAAUUUUGUUAUGAUAAUGGUGCUCAGCUGCUCAGUGGCUGGUGGUGGGAGGUGGGUAGCAAGGAUAGCAGGUCCAACUCAGCCUCAUUUUAAUGGCUGAACUCACAUCUGGCAGCGGGCAGCAAGCUUGAGCUGAUUCUGGGCUGAGUUGCUCCACCACUCACUGGAACAAAAGAGCUGGCAUAGAAGAAGAAGUAAAGAAGAAACUCUGUGUUUCCUUACUACAUUAUCUGAAGACUCAAUGCAAAUAAACUGUCCCUGGAGCAGGAAAAAAAAUCUACAGUAUUUCUAUUGCUGUAAUAUCAAUGUGCCAGGUGCAGACAUUUGUUUGAUUUGGCCUCUGACAUAUUUAUCUGGUGUGCGCUGUUUCAUUUCUUCCAUCUUGUAUCCAUUUUAAAGAUACUUUGAUUUAAAAAAAAUAAAGAGAAAAAAAUAAUAAAAAAUAACAUAAAAAU